rnacentral:rRNA from 1 species
GGGAGCUUGCUCCCUGAUAUCAGCGGCGGACGGGUGAGUAACACGUGGGCAACCUGCCUGUAAGACUGGGAUAACUCCGGGAAACCGGGGCUAAUACCGGAUAAUUCCUUCCUCCUCCUGGAGGAAGGCUGAAAGAUGGUUUCGGCUAUCACUUACAGAUGGGCCCGCGGCGCAUUAGCUAGUUGGUGAGGUAACGGCUCACCAAGGCCACGAUGCGUAGCCGACCUGAGAGGGUGAUCGGCCACACUGGGACUGAGACACGGCCCAGACUCCUACGGGAGGCAGCAGUAGGGAAUCUUCCGCAAUGGACGAAAGUCUGACGGAGCAACGCCGCGUGAGUGAAGAAGGUUUUCGGAUCGUAAAACUCUGUUGUUAGGGAAGAACAAGUGCGAGAGUAACUGCUCGCACCUUGACGGUACCUAACCAGAAAGCCACGGCUAACUACGUGCCAGCAGCCGCGGUAAUACGUAGGUGGCAAGCGUUGUCCGGAAUUAUUGGGCGUAAAGCGCGCGCAGGCGGUUCCUUAAGUCUGAUGUGAAAGCCCACGGCUCAACCGUGGAGGGUCAUUGGAAACUGGGGAACUUGAGUGCAGAAGAGAAGAGCGGAAUUCCACGUGUAGCGGUGAAAUGCGUAGAGAUGUGGAGGAACACCAGUGGCGAAAGCGGC